rnacentral:rRNA from 1 species
GUAGGGUGCAAGCGUUAAUCGGAAUUACUGGGCGUAAAGCGUGCGCAGGCGGCUUUGCAAGACAGAUGUGAAAUCCCCGGGCUUAACCUGGGAACUGCAUUUGUGACUGCAUGGCUGGAGUGCGGCAGAGGGGGAUGGAAUUCCGCGUGUAGCAGUGAAAUGCGUAGAUAUGCGGAGGAACACCGAUGGCGAAGGCAAUCCCCUGGGCCCGCACUGACGCUCAUGCACGAAAGCGUGGGGAGCAAACAGGAUUAGAUACCCUGGUAGUCCACGCCCUAAACGAUGUCAACUGGUUGUUGGACGGCUUGCUGUUCAGUAACGAAGCUAACGCGUGAAGUUGACCGCCUGGGGAGUACGGCCGCAAGGUUG